GACGAACGCUGGCGGCGUGCUUAACACAUGCAAGUCGAACGGAAAGGCCCUGCAUUUGUGGGGUGCUCGAGUGGCGAACGGGUGAGUAACACGUGAGUAACCUGCCCUUGACUUUGGGAUAACUUCAGGAAACUGGGGCUAAUACCGGAUAGGUGCUCCUGCUGCACGGUGGGGGUUGGAAAGUUUCGGCGGUUGGGGCUGGACUCGCGGCUUAUCAGCUUGUUGGUGGGGCAGUGGCUUACCAAGGCUUUGACGGGUAGCCGGCCUGAGAGGGUGACCGGCCACAUUGGGACUGAGAUACGGCCCAGUGUCCUACGGGAGGCAGCGGUGGGGAAUAUUGCACAAUGGGCGGAAGCCUGAUGCAGCAACGCCGCGUGCGGGAUGACGGCCUUCGGGUUGUAAACCGCUUUCGCCUGUGACGAAGCGUGAGUGACGGUAAUGGGUAAAGAAGCACCGGCUAACUACGUG
rnacentral:rRNA from 1 species